CCCUCCCUUUUGGGUUGCUAGCUUGGGCAACAGUUUGCAUGUGUAUUGGCCCAUCUUGGUUCAACGCAUUCUGAAAAGUGAGCAAUAAACUUUUUGGCAUGUCUGGUGGGACGUGAUAGCUAUAUUACUGCCUGAGAGGAGAAGUGAUAUAUAACUAUUGGGCAUAAAUCUUGGUUGAGGCCCUUUUAGUGGGGUCGCUGAUGAACAACAGAUGCACUAGGUUGUGUUACAGAGACAUAGUUCAUAGACUCGAUGUGGGAUAACUAUUGCUAAUGGUCAAAUUAG
rnacentral:lncRNA from 1 species